rnacentral:rRNA from 1 species
CAAUAGCGUAUAUUAAAGUUGUUGCGGUUAAAAAGCUCGUAGUUGGAUUUCUGCUGAGGAUGACCGGUCCGCUUUCUGAGUGUGUAUCUGGCUCAGCCUUGGCAUCUUCCUGAAGAACGUAUCUGCACUUGACUGUGUGGUGCGGUAUUUAGGACAUUUACUUUGAGGAAAUUAGAGUGUUUCAAGCAAGCGCACGCCUUGAAUACAUUAGCAUGGAAUAAUAAGAUAGGACCUCGGUUCUAUUUUGUUGGUUUCUAGAGCUGAGGUAAUGAUUGAUAGGGAUAGUUGGGGGCAUUCGUAUUUAACUGUCAGAGGCGAAAUUCUUGGGUUUGUUAAAGACGGACUACUGCGAAAGCAUUUGCCAAGGAUGUUUNCAUUGA